rfam:Clostridiales bacterium PH28_bin88 ph28_9, whole genome shotgun sequence.
AAAGAGCCCCACGUGAAAGGAGUAGCUGCACCAUCACGGCCCCGAGUCAUGCGCGGGCAGCCGCGAGGCGGCACAUGAAGCGUUGACAGGGGAAAACGCGGGCCAGCCAUUGAGCUCCGAAAUCACCCUUUCCGGGGGCCGACCACGUGAACCGAUUGGGAAGGCAACACGGUAUAACGGCGAUACUGCAGCGAGCCUAUACCGGCCCCGCGGAGUCAAAGACCC